CUUGGGGGUGAGAGUCGCGCGCGGGCUCCCGAGACUCAAUAAAACUUUCCCGCGUCCGUGAAGUGAAACCUUUCUAUUUUUAAAAUAUACCGUAUUUUUUAAAUAGUUCACAGAUAAUCUAGUGCAAACUUUUCUCGCUGGAGUAAUCUGUGGAGAUGUCGUGUAGCAAGUGGCCAAAAUCAAAUCCAAGCUGAUAAUUUUUUUGAAAAAGGAUUCGUGUUCGAGUUGCGGCAGUCGCGAAGGCGGCGCCGCUGAGUGCGGUUGUGGAUCGCUGGCGCUGCUUCAGCCAGAUAGUCUUGGCGAGCAUCGUGGGCGCACAGCGUAGCCCCUUAGGCUGGGCAAUGGGCAGCUCGCAGCGACUAGCCGCUGUUGCGGCAGUCUCUCACGCAAAACAUUAUUAUAACCACACUCAACCCAGCGUUGUUCAUACCGAGUCCACACAUUAUAACAUCAAUAUUUUCUUUGUAAGUGCUACGUUGUGUGGUGUACUCGUAGCGGUGUGUGCCGCAUGUUGCCGUAGACCCAGAUCUACGGAUAAGCCAGAGGAAGUGACAGAAUGCCGAGGAAUUUACACUGUUAGUGGAGAUGCACGAUUGAAUCAGGUACAACAAGAGGAGGCGGCCGGACCACCACCAGCUUAUGAUCUGGUGGUUGCAGAUUCUUCACAUAAGGAUUGUAUAACAUUAGAGGAGGUGGUCUCUGAAGCGUGCCCGCGUUGCCAGAAAGUGAAGACAGAUAGUGAACUGCCUUCGUACGAAGCGGCCGUCUUAUUAAAAGACACCAGGUUAUAAUAAAUAGAACAACAUAUUACUUAAGCUAUGCUAUUGUCAUUUAUAAAAAGAUCGAACUGCACCAAAUUAUUGUUUUAGAUAAGUGCAUAAUCACAACUAGAAAUGGGUUGGCGUUCCAUUUUUAAAUUUUAAUGUUGACCCAACCUGUCACAUGAUUGACUGUCACUGACAAUUUACUAUCGUUUCGUAGAUAAUAAAUUUACAUCUGUCAAAUGUCAACUAUCCGUCAAAUUGAAGCACCACGCAGAAACCUUAGCGCAUAAUAUCGCCACCUAUCAAUACAAAAAUAGCAAAGGUGUUAUGAAAAUAUUCAAGGUGAAUGAUAUAUGUCGGAGCAAAGGCGUUACUGUCAGCUGCAUAUCAUUAAAAUACGUCAUCGGGCCUGCAAAUUAUUAACGUAAAAGUCUAAUUACUCCAAAACCGUACCAAUUCUUAAAAGGCCGGCAACGGACACUUGCGAGCACUCUCGCAAUGUGAGUGUCUACGGGCGGUAUCACUUAACAUAAUCCUGCAAGUUUAAAUAUUUUUUUUUUAGAUCUGGCAAUAUUGGCUAAUUAAUAAACUAGUAUAGUAUUGCUCCUACAUAUAUAAUUCCUACAAUCUCCCGUUUAUUUGUUAACGCAAAGCUAUUCAAUGUUUGGUUACAACCAUUUAGGUUUGGGCCACAGAUUUCUGUGUUAACAUUUAAGACCGUUAUAUAAUAAGAGCAGUGAUGGCCUAGUGGCUUCAACGUGCGACUCACAUGAUGUCAAAGGUUCGAUUCCCGGCUGUGCAUAGAAUGUGCGCAUUUAAUAUUAGCUCGAACGUUAAAGCAAAACAUCGUAAGGUAUCCGGCUUGCCUUAAGACCCAAAAAGUCGACGGCGUGUGUCAGGCACAUGAGGCUGAUCUAUAGUAGAUGGAAAUGAUCAUGAAACAGAUACAGAAAUCUGAGGCCCAGACCUAAAAAGUUUCAUCAAAGUAAAUGUAGCGCCACUGAUUUCUUUAUUUAAUUAAUAAGCUUACCUUAUAUAUUAUAUGAAAAAAAAAACCAGUGACAAAUAUAUGUAGUUCACAUUUUAUAAGACCACAUAUGAAAAUUUCGAACAACAUAUUCCCACAACAAAGUUUAAUUAUUAAAAUACCGAUUCGAAACUAAUUUAAGCCACGCUGAACUAGGUUUAAUGCUACACCGGUUUGAUUGUUUUGUAUAAUUAACAAAUUUAAUGUUGUGAAGUUCGAUGCACCAGAAAUUAUUAGCCGCCGUGAUGUGGUGGUGUAUGCAUGAGUUAUUCUAUGUAUAGUGGGACGACGAUGAAAUCUAUUGGUUGGUUUAUAUUAGGUAUUUUUAAGUUUAGUCCUGCCUAUACUUUCUCUAAUUUUGUGUAUAUGCUGUCACUUGAUUGUGUUAAACAUAAUUAUAAGGUACCUAAAAAAAGUUAUAUUUGUGUUUGAAAAAGUGAAGUUUUUAAAUACAAAAAACACAAUUGUCAUUAAAAAGUUUUUGGUACAACGAAUUUUCUUUAAUACUUUUCCUUAGCUACGGAGCUGGCGAACAAAAAUAUAUUAUUUGCUCAUGUGGCAGGCUUUUUAAUAGCGAUAAUUAUACGAUAAUAAUAUUCCUUAUAUUAACGACCACGUCUGCCACACCUGGAGUGUUCGUUUAAAAACCCCGCACCCCGAUUGACCACCACGAACAAAUGAUUUAGUAUCGAUUUCUUUUACAGAUUUAAACACCUGUAGUUUAAAAACGCAGUAACGUACGACAUUCAUUCAUUAAGAUAUUUUUGUCGUAUUGAUACGACAAAAUGCGAGCAAAUCAUAUAAUUAAGUGCUUGCCAGCUUCUUAGUUACUACAUAAGGUCGAGUCUGUAUAAAUCAUACCAAGCUUUUUAUUUAAUGUACUCUUAAGAAUAUUUUCGACAAUAAGAAGACACACGAAGUCGACAAAGACGGAACACCUGUCGAAGUCGCCAUAACAUAGAAAUGUGGCUUGUGUCGUGGACAGAGUUGGUGAGUCAGUAAUACUGUAUAAAUGUUACUUUGAGUCAUCGUGCAUUAUGGGUUCAUAUUGCUUUAUUUUAGUUGAAUAUAUGCACAAAUAUUUAAAGUAAUGUUGCAUCAGUCUUGCUUAAGCCGGUGGUUCCAAAAUUACUGAACAGGCUUGGCUAGAUAUAUUCCUGAUUCCAUACGUUUAUUUGGUCAAACUUCUAAUAACUGAUAUCAGCCGGUUUAAUCUCACGUUCAAUCAAAGCUCACGCAUUUAACAAAUCUCAAAUAAAUUAACCUGUACCAAAGUAAUAAAAAUACACGGAGAUGUAGGCCUUUAACGCUAUCAUACAGUCCCAUAGGUUUGAGCUUACUUUUAGGUGUCUAGAUGUAACGGUAAUAUUGACUCUUAUGACUAGUUUAAGAUUAUCUAAAACGUAGAAUGGUAUAAUACAAUAGAAAGUUCAUUGUUCUUAAUAUUAUAGGACAUUAUAAUGCACAACUAUUAUCAUGUACACUCAGCCCUCGAACAGGGCAGUGAAGUGGGCAGCGUAUGUGAUUACGUCACUGCUGCUGUCCGUACCGCUGCUAUUGAAAAUGUUUUCGGUAAAUUAAUAAAACGUAGAACUGACGACGCUAUUGUUGCAAGCAGUACUUACGCAAUAUUUCCGGCAGCGGCAGGAGCAAGACCGGAAUGAAGUGUUUUAUAUUAAAUGAAAUUGUAAAACGCAAAAGCCCACCCACACAUACAUCAAAGAUUAUGUCAUAUCUGAUGUUUUAAUGUUAGUUAAAUACUUUUUGUAUAAAUGUAAUACUUUACAUUAUUGUAAUGUAAAUCGACGUUACGGUUGACUG